CCCCUCUCAGGGUCGAACCUGGAGAGUUUCCAGUACUCUACCAGUCUUGGCUACAGGAGGGAGAGUCAAUCAGAGGCCUAACUAUUCCAGUUCCAGCUUGGCCAGUGGCUUGUGAAUGGAAGGCAAUCUGCUACAAGU